UUUCCAACAUCUUACUUCAUUUCAAAAAAUAUAGAUUCAUUGCUUACUCAUAAUACUCUAUGGCUGAAGCUUUCCUUCAAGUUCUGUUAGACAAUCUGACUUGUUUCAUCCAAGGGGAACUUGGAUUGAUUCUUGGUUUUAAGGAUGAGUUCGAAAAGCUUCAAAGCACGUUUACUACAAUCCAAGCUGUGCUAGAAGAUGCUCAGAAGAAGCAAUUGAAGGACAAGGCAAUAGAAAAUUGGUUGCAGAAACUCAAUGCUGCUGCAUAUGAAGCUGAUGACAUCUUGAACGAAUGUAAAACUGAGGCACCAAUUAGACAGAAGAAGAAUAAAUAUGGGUGUUAUCAUCCAAAUGUUAUCACUUUCCGUCACAAGAUUGGGAAAAGGAUGAAAAAGAAUAUGGAGAAACUAGAUGCAAUUGCAGCGGAACGAAUUAAGUUUCACUUGGAUGAAAAGACUAUUGAGAGACAAGUUGCUACACGCCAAACAGGUUUUGUUUUAAAUGAACCACAAGUUUAUGGAAGAGACAAAGAAAUGGAUGAGAUAGUGAAAAUCCUGAUAAAUAAUGUUAGCGAUGCCCAAACACUUUCAGUCCUCCCAAUACUUGGUAUGGGGGACUAGGAAAGACGACACUUGCCCAAAUGGUCUUCAAUGAUCAGAGAGUAAUUGAGCAUUUCCAUCCCAAAAUAUGGAUUUGUGUCUCGGAAGAUUUUAAUGAGAAGAGGUUGAUAAAGGAAAUUGUAGAAUCUAUUGAAGAAAAGUCACUUGGUGACAUGGACUUGGCUCCACUUCAAAAGAAGCUUCGGGACUUGCUGAAUGGAAAAAAAUAUUUGCUUGUAUUAGAUGAUGUUUGGAAUGAAGAUCAAGAUAAGUGGGCUAAGUUAAGACAAGUCUUGAAGGUUGGAGCAAGUGGUGCUUCUAUUCUAACCACUACUCGUCUUGAAAAGGUUGGAUCAAUCAUGGGAACUUUGCAACCAUAUGAAUUGUCAAAUUUGUCUCAAGAAGAUUGUUGGUUGUUGUUCAUGCAACGUGCAUUUGGGCACCAAGAAGAAAUAAAUCAUAAUCUUGUGGCUAUCGGAAAGGAGAUUGUGAAAAAAUGUGGUGGUGUGCCUCUAGCAGCUAAAACUCUUGGAGGUAUUUUGCACUUCAAGAGAGAAGAAGAGAUAGUGAGAUUUGGAAAUUGCCUCAAGAAGAAAGUUCUAUUCUGCCUGCCCUGAGACUUAGUUACCAUCAUCUUCCAUUUGAUUUGAGACAAUGCUUUGCAUAUUGUGCAGUAUUCCCAAAGGAUACCAAAAUGGAAAAGCAAAAUCUAAUCUCUCUCUGGAUGGCACACGGUUUUCAUUUAUCGAAAGGAAACUUGGAGCUAGAGGAUGUAGGUAAUGAAGUAUGGAAUGAAUUAUACUUGAGGUCUUUCUUCCAAGAGAUUGAAGUUAAAUCUGGUAAAACUUAUUUCAAGAUGCAUGAUCUCAUCCAUGAUCUGGCUACAUCUCUGUUUACGACAAGCGCAUCAAGCAACAAUAUCCCUGAAAUAAAUGUUAAAGGUUACCCACAUAUGAUGUCGAUUGGUUUAGCAAAAGUGGUGUCUUCUUACUCUCCUUAUCACUUGCAAAAGUUUGUCUCGUUGAGGGGCUUAAUCUAAGUAAAUUAAGACUUAAGCAUUUACCGUCUUCCAUUGGAGAUCUAGUAUAUUUAAGAUACUUGAACCUGUCUUGCAAUGACAUGCGCAGUCUUCCAAAGCAGUUAUGCAAGCUUCAAAAUCUGCAGACUCUUGAUCUACAUAAUUGCGAGUCACUUUGUUGUUUGCCAAAGAAACAAGUAAACUUGGUAGUCUCCGAAAUCUUUUACUUGAUAGUUGCUAUGGAUUGACUUGUAUGCCACCAAGGAUGGGAUCUUUGACAUGCCUUAAGACUCUUAGUUGCUUUGCAGUGGGAAGGAAGAAAAGUUGUCAACUUGGUGAAUUACGAAACCUGAGUCUCUACGGCUCAAUUGAAAUCACGCAUCUUGAGAGAUUGAAGAAUGAUAUGGAUGCAAAAGAAGCCAAUUUAUCUGCAAAAGAAAAUCUGCAUUCUUUAAGCAUGAGAUGGGAUGAGAUGAACGUCCACAUAGAUAUGAAUCAGAAGAAGUUGAAGUGAUUGAUGUCCUCAAACCACACUCCAAUCUGACUUGUUUAACAAUCAAUGGCUUCAGAGGAAUCCGUCUCCCAGACUGGUUGAAUCACUCAGUUUUGAAAAAUGUUGUCUCUAUUGAAAUCAUCUAGU